GUAUAUAUGGUGUAACUAACACAUUAGCUUUUCAUGCUAAAGUUAUAUUUAGUAUUAUAUACC
rnacentral:tRNA from 1 species